AUGAAUUUGAGUUGCAUAAACUCUAGCUAAGAAGGUAAGAAGCUAGUAAGUAGCGUUUGGAAAGAGCCCUGCCAGCUGCCACACUGCCUGGCGCCCAUCGGUAUACAGACGGGGGUCACUAAAAGACCACAUCACUGUCAAUUGUUACAAGAACUGCAUAAUUCGAGGAGUGCCUGACAGCUAGUGUGAGGGAGUCCGUGGCACUAGAGUGAACAUAGUGGAAACGGCGCCCUCGGUCCUCACUUGUUUCAUCUGAAGAGUCACCAUCUGGAAUGAGACUUGCGGUGCGCUCUAGACAUACCUGCUGUUUGACCCCCUUGCUAUCAAAUGGAAAAUCCCCUGAACUCUGACCACUUGAUCUUGGGAUCUGUGGCUCUAUGAGGAGAAUGUGUUUCUUCUAUAUUCGGCACAGUCAAGGAUGCUGGAAGAGCCACUGGAAACUUCCAAAGUGAUGUGGGAAACACCAUUGAUGGUAUAUAUGGAAGACAUUAUCAGAGCAACUGACAGCCAUGAGCUGUGUGAAAGCCACCACCAGAGCCACUGAAACCUGAGAAGCCACAUGAGGGACACCUCUGGGGUUACAGGAACCCUCAAAGCUGUCAGUGCUUGGUCCUGAGUGAACACCAUCCCGCCUUUGUGCUGCCUUCACAGCCACACGAAGAUGAAAGUGUCUUAGGAUAUACCCUGGAGCUAUGCCAAACUGCUGGAUUGAAGGUUAUCAGUGCCCUGGAAAGCUCCCAGUGCAAAUGGAAAACUGUGAUACCCUGCAAUCCCUCCUCCCGCUGUACCCCUAAAGCCAAGAGGGGUUCUGAGCAGCACAAUGCUCAGACCAGACCAGUGUAGGAGAGAUUCCUCCCAUCAACAUCCUCAAAACUAUCUCAGCUGAAACUCUAGUGGGAUUUUUUUUUUCUGUUUGAAAUGAUGGUUUCCCUGAGGUCAAGUGGAAAAGCCAUCUUCAGAAACAGGUCUAUUUAGAUCCACUCAUAUUCUACAGAAUUCAUGUGGUCUCUUCAAAGCAUCCCAGGCUCAGUGCACAAACACUGCUGUGACCACUACUGACCCCUGUGGCGGCGGCUGCUGGCUGCUGCUGCUGCUGCGUAAUCAGGGACAUCAGCAAAGUGAGAGAGCAGGGUGAACUGUGACCUUGUAUUAAAAUGACCCAAUGGCUCCUCAUGUGGAUGUGGUGACACUUUGCCUUGAAGAGUGGACAGGUGGCCACAUCUGCAAUAUUUCCUUUGCUGACACCUCCUCUGAAAUCCCCACUAACCAGCCCCUGGUUGCUCAGAAGUCACUAACACCACAGAUCCGCUCAGUGCCUGCUGUCUGCCUGGUUUGAUGAAAAGUCUAUAGCGAGAGUCAAAAUAGACCUGCUGUUUUUAAAGUGAUGCAUAAUCCUGUACACCAUGAUGUGUGUUUCCCUAAGAUGGAAACCACAAAGCGGCAGGGGCACAGCCCACAGCCAAGCCACCUGUCAAGGUCACCCUGGCAGAGAUAACUCCGACACCCUUCUUUUAGAAUGAGAUACAGAAACUAUAACUAUACAAAGACAACUAGGGACAAU
rnacentral:lncRNA from 1 species